rnacentral:lncRNA from 1 species
CUGGCUAAGUUUUCAUCCGUGGCAGGAACAAAUUCCAGUAUUAUUUAAUGAAUGUUGAUGGUACAAAGCCCAAAUCCCAUAAAACCCUCUUGGCUGGACUGAUUACAGUUUACUACAGCAAAAAGCGGGGAAAAAGAGAGGAUACAAGAACUUUUUUCGGCUCUUCCAUAGUUCAUGGAUAAUCUCCUCGAAAUGUUUCAUGCAGACGGCUCUGCCCAGUAUUUGGGCUGUAAAAACAUCGUGUCAGACAGUUUGGAAGACGUUGUAAACAACCUAAAUGUCCGUCAAAAGAAAAUGAGUAGAUAAGAAAGCUGAGGUCACAAAAAGGAAAGUGACUGGUCCAAGUUGAAAUUGAUCGUAAUUAGCAGAGCCAGAAGUUGAAACCAGUUCUGUUUUAUUAUAAAUCCACACCACACUUUGGAUCACACAUCAUCAGUGGCCCAAACUCUCAGCUCUUGCAAAUAAAAAUAAAUCAACAGUUUUUAGUGUCAAGUCUCUGUACAACAUGUGCUGGUCCACAUUUCAUGCCUUGGGGCUAGUUAUUGCCUUGUAUUAAUUAUUAUCUUUCAUGUAGACUUUGCCUCCUAAGUAGUAACUAAAUUGCUAACUCUUUAUAGUCAAAAAUAUGUGUUUUCCAUCUUUGUGCCCCACACUUAGAAGAGCUUUUUGCACAUUUAGGUGAUUUUUAGAUCACCACGAUAAUGAUAGUAGCUUUCUGCCUCUCUAGACUGCCCAACAAUCUCUGGACAAAUCAGGCCUCUCUGCCUAUAAAGAUGUGAUGCAGGCUGGCUGCAGUGGUUCAUGAGUAUAAUCCCAGCACUUUGGGAGGCCAAGGCAGAAGGAUCAGUUGGGGCUAGGAGUUCAAGAUCAGCCUGGGCAACAUAGUGAGAACCUAUCUCUACAAAAAAUGUUUGUUUAAUUUGCCAGAGUUCAAGGCUGCAGUGAGCUAUGAUCACUGCACUCCAGCUUGGGUGACACAGCAAGAGAAGAAAGAGAAAGAAAGGAAAGAAAGAAAGAGAGAAAGAGAGAGAGUGUGUAAGACAGCGAGAGAGAGAGAGAAAGGAGGGAAGGGAAGGGGAAGGGAAGGGAAAGGGGAAGGGAAGGAGAAGGGAGGGGAGGGGAGGGGAAGGGAAGGGAGGGGAGGGGAGGGGAAGGGAAGGGAAGGGAAGGGAAGGGAAGGGAAGGGAAGGGAAGGGAAGGGAAGGGGCAAACAUGUUUCUCACAGGAUUCUUUACACAGGCAAAUAGGAAGCAGCUCAAAUACCCCACAGGAAAAGAGAAGUUAAAUGAACUAUGAACUAUGGGACAUCUGCAUGAGAGAAUGUUACACAACUAUUUAACAUCAUGUUUUCAGAAACUACUGAAUAAGAGGAAAAUGUUUACCAAAUAUUGUGAUGCCUUUUGCAUUUAUAGCAAAGGAAAAAAAAAGCUUAGAGAAAAAUACAACAAAAUGUCAACUUUUGUUAUCUCUGAGGGGAAUAAAAUACAGAGAACUUUUAUUUUCUCUUUCUGAACAUUAACUUCUUUUCUGGUAAUCCUUGGGGCCACUCAUUUCAACAUGUUAGCUUCAUUUCUCUUCACCUAUAAAAAUAGGAGCAAUAUUAGUUUCC